AUCCAGUUUACAAGUCCCAAACAGGACGAAACAGGCGUCCUGGAU
rnacentral:hammerhead_ribozyme from 1 species